UUCGGCGCCUGCGCGUUGUCGCCACUUCAAGGAAGCCAAUAUGGGAAAACACGACGCUCCGUGCACCUUUGUUUCUGGUAGGAGCAGCUCGGAAAGAGUUGCAAGUUUAGUUUGACUGUGAUGCUACUAAGGUACUGUACCACCGAACAUUAGGGCUUAUGAUCUGCCCUGCCCGUCCGUCGAGAUGUCUAAGCGCGUUUGGACGCCAUCGAGGAACGACGAGGUACCGCACAUCACGAAGUGGAAGUAUUGUAGGAAAAAGGAAAAUGAAAAAGAAAUACUGUGUUGUGGGCGCCUUCUGCACGCAAACUUCUGCCUUGUCGUGAGCGCUUGGGUUUCGCGUACGUGCUCGUCAACUACAAGCAACCGCAUGCGAGUGCCCGCGCGAUCUGCAGAAACUCGCAUUUAUCUGGAAUGAACUUUUCUUAUGUAUGCGCUGGUGUGAAGCCAAUAAAACAAGCGCGAGAGAGGCGGCAAGCCGCUUGAAGAGCUCUGUUCAAAGGAUCCUUCACAGGAUGGUCGACAUUCUCCUCGCCAUGAGUCUAUCUGACAGAACGACUGUCCCAGUGAAUUAAGGAUGGUAGGUGCGCAAAGUAUUCUUUUUUAAAAACAAUUUGUACCCCAGGAAGUUUUGUACUAAAAGUGUAUUACUGCAUGUAUGCAUUAAAGUGCAAACUGCAUGAACUGAAACUCCUUCCAACGAAAGCU